UACGAAGGGUGCAAGCGUUACUCGGAAUUAUUGGGCGUAAAGGGUGCGUAGGCGGUCGUUUAAGUCCGUUGUGAAAUCCCUGGGCUCAACCUGGGAAUGGCAGUGGAUACUGGACGGCUAGAAUGCGGUAGAGGGUAGUGGAAUUCCCGGUGUAGCGGUGAAAUGCGUAGAGAUCGGGAGGAACACCAGUGGCGAAGGCGGCUACCUGGACCGGCAUUGACGCUCAAGCACGAAAGCGUGGGGAGCAAACAGG
rnacentral:rRNA from 1 species